rnacentral:rRNA from 1 species
AGCAGCCGCGGUAAUUCCAGCUCCAAUAGCGUAUAUUAAAGUUGUUGCAGUUAAAAAGCUCGUAGUUGAAUUUCGGGGUUAGUAGGUCGGUCAUGCCUCAGGUAUGCACUGGUCUCACUGAUUCCUCCUUCCUGAUGAGCCGUAAUGCCAUUAAUUUGGUGUUGCGGGGAAUCUGGACUGUUACUUUGAAAAAAUUAGGGUGUUUAAAGCAGGCUCACGCUUGAAUACAUUAGCAUGGAAUAAUGAAAUAGGACGUUUGAUUCUAUUUUUUUGGUUUCUAGGAUCGACGUAAUGAUUAAUAGGGAUAGUUGGGGGCAUUAGUAUUCAAUUGUCAGAGGUGAAAUUCUUGGAUUUAUUGAAGACUAACUACUGCGAAAGCAUUUGCCAAGGAUGUUUUCAUUAAUCAAGAACGAAAGUUAGGGGAUCGAAGACGAUCAGAUACCGUCGUAGUCUUAACCAUAAACUAUGCCGACUAGGGAUCGGAUGAUGUUAAUUUUUAAUGACUCAUUCGGCACCUUAC